UUUUUCAACCAAAACCCUAAACGCCAAAUCAUCUGCCUCCUCAGGAUCUCAAUCAGCCCUGUGCGAGAACCUUGAAUCCAUCUUCAAUACCCAAUAGUGAACAUCGACGAAUGAUUCCUUGAUCUUCUUAUUUUAUGAUUAAUUUUGAAUGGUUUGCGUUAAUCGGUUUUGUUAUGUAUUGAUUGAAUGAAUGUUAUUUGGAUAUCGAUCUUAGAUUCUCUUUUUUUUUAUUGUUUUUUGACACACGAUUUCGUUUUGUUUGUUUCUAUGUUUUUGAUUCCAUCUUUUGAUGAACACAGUGAAUGUCGGUAGUUAAUGUUGAAUCUUAAUCGCCGAUUGAUGUUCUUUUGGUUUACAGUUUGUUCGUUAGGGUUUCUAAUAGCCAAUUUUCUGUUAUGGUGCUUCGUGUUCUACUAUAGAAGAAAGAUUGGCAAGGAAUGAAGGAAAAAAGGAAUCAUCAUCAUUGCACUGUAUUUGGUGACAGUAUCAGUAGGAAUUGGAAGCAGGAGACCUUAGAAUCCUCCAGCUCUGCAGUAAAAGAUUGGAAGAAGGAUACACAAUCAGUAAAUAUAGAAGAAGCGGUCGUUGUUGCUACUGGUAAGUACAUCGCCGUUCUGUCUGCCAAAUCAAUGGGUUGCUUCUUCGUCAUGCUCUCUGGCGGUACUUUAUUCGAUACUACCAGAGCUCAAAUAUAACUGACGGGAGCUGGAGCCUCCGUACAGGUAGAUGGAUUGGUCGAAAUGGUUGAUUUUCUUUCUGGAUGAACGUGUUGUUCUUCUUGAUUAUUCCGAUUACAAGCUCGCUUAUUAUGGAUUUCUCAGUAAGAUUUUGAAGUGUUGAAUGAUGUUAGCAAUAUCCCGCUUCAAGAUACUCAACAGCCAAUGCUUUAGAAGACCCUUCUAUGACAAUGGAAUAGGUAACACCUGUUGUAGUUUCUUCUAAACCACUUUUCCCGCUUCAGGUUUGUAUAUAGUACUGUUUCCAUUUCAUGUCUUUUUAUACUCUUUUUAAAAUCCAUCUUUUGGAUGUUUCAUCCUUUAUAAUGGAUGUUUAUGGCAUGUCGAAUGAUAUAUGUAUGCUUGGCAGGAAAGAACUAUCUGCAGGUGAAAGCCUAAUAGAACCCAAUUUUUUAUCACCCUACUUAUCUCAAGACCCGACACAAAGUAAUCUCUUACACAUGCGAGCAAAAAAGAUGGAGAGUAUUACUUUGUUUGUAGCGAGCCUUAAUAAUCGCAAACGCUACUCAACAAAUGGCAAAUGUGACAAAAGGUACCUAUACUUCUUUGAUAAGGGAAACACGCAAAUCACGGUUGCUUCAAUUCAUGGACCUAUUGAAUUAGUUAUAACAACUGAAAUACAAAGGGACACCGCCACAUCAGAUCCAACUGUUGAUGUUUUUUUUUUCAGUACAAUCCGCUAUAUCCAGUCGCAAAAGGCCAAGGGCGGAGCCACUGCAGAGAAAUUCGAGCAGAUCAAGGUCUGGUUUGUUUUCAUGGGCUAUUGAAUGUCAUUCCAAAUUUUGUUAGGGAUGCUCACACAGAGAAAGAGGUUUUGCAAAGAUGGGAGAUACAAGCAUAUCAGCACUUAGAGCUAGGGGAGACUAUUACAUUAAACACAAGUGAAUUCCAGAAAUAGGGAAAAUGAAACCCAUUACCAACUGAUUGACAAACAGGAAGUGUUGGGGUCAACCCUUGUUUUGAGCAAGCUUUCAGAUCUGAGCAACGACCAUCUUCCCCACCAACCAACUCCUCCACCACCGAUUGAGCAACCUUUCAGAUCUGAGCAACCCCCCCCCCCCCGAUGUUCGACGGUGAAACGAUGAGAGAGAAAGUAGAGAGAGGGGUGAGAAAGAGGAGGUAGCCGGAGAAGGGUUCACCGGACUUGUUGUGGGGGUGGAGGUGGUGGAGGUGGUGGCGGAGAUGUGGUGGCGGAGAUGGGUGGUGAAGGUGAUGCAGAGAGAAGAGGAGGUGGUGGUCUGUGUUGAAUGGCAGAGAGAAGAGGUUUGAAGAGAUUUGAAGACUUGGGUUCAUGUCUGCUUGGGGAAGAGGUGGGGAAGAGGUUUUUGGUGAGAAACUCUUCAAGAAAACAAACAAGCUGUAGGACCCAAAGGUCUGCGCGUGUCUGCACGACGCAGACAUAAGUGGCCAGAAGCACUUUUCUUCAAAAAACAAACAGCACCUUAGUUUUAAUGUUUUGAUGUAUGAACGAUUUAAUUUUCUGUUUAAUUAAGAUAUGUUUGUUUUGGUAAGUUAUAAUGUAUGUAUAUGUUUAG